CCCCAGGCGUGACUAAAGGCGCUGCACGUCGAGCGUCCGCGGUGCUGAAGGCCAGUGGGGCUGCCUCGCGAGUUACCUCGCCUCUCCGCGAGCCUUCCUGUCAUAGUUACGGCCUGAGCGCGGGCGCCUCCCAGGCAGGCGCCGGGCUGAGGCGGGAACCCUGCCGUUUUGCCGAGCGUGACUUUUAGUUUUCUGAGGAAAUGUGGAGUGUGCCGCUGUGAAGCGCUAACCUAUUAUUCUACCACGAAGAUCCAAGAACUGAAGAGUCUCUUGGGAUCCUCAGAGGAUUUGUGCCAAUGAGAAUUUGACAAAAGGUCAGCAAGUUCUACACAUUUUUCAAGAAAGGAGCAAACUGUUGCUUAGGAGAGCCCUACCUGGCAAGGAGCUGAAGAUGGCCUCUAGCCAACAGCCAAUGAGGAACUGAGACCUACUGUUGAAGCUUGGGGUCAAUCCUGCUCUAGUUGAGCUUUAAGAUGAAACCUCAUCUCUGGCCAAUACCUUAAUUAUAGCCUUGUGAGAUAACUUGAGAGGACCCAAAUUCCUGAUCCAUGAAAUCUGUGAAAUAAUAAAUAUAUAUUGU